rnacentral:sRNA from 2 species
UCUGCCCCACGGGGAAGGAUGAGAAGCUUCGACCAAGGUUCGACUCGAGCGAAGCGAGAGAACGUUGCCGCAGGCAACGGCCCGAAGGGCGAGGAGCGAUAGCGACGAGUUAUCCUUCCCCCACCACCA